CGGCGGACGGGUGAGUAACGCAUGGGUAACCUGCCUCAUACAGGGGGAUAACAGUUGGAAACGGCUGCUAAUACCGCAUAAGCGCACAGUACCGCAUGGUACGGUGUGAAAAACUCCGGUGGUAUGAGACGGACCCGCGUCUGAUUAGGUAGUUGGUGGGGUAACGGCCUACCAAGCCGACGAUCAGUAGCCGACCUGAGAGGGUGACCGGCCACAUUGGGACUGAGACACGGCCCAA
rnacentral:rRNA from 1 species